rnacentral:rRNA from 1 species
ACGGGGCCCGCACAAGCGGUGGAGUAUGUGGUUUAAUUCGAUGCAACGCGAAGAACCUUACCUGGUCUUGACAUCCCGGAGACCCUUAGGAAACUAGGGGGUGCUUCCAUCUGGAAGAAUCUGGAGACAGGUGCUGCAUGGCUGUCGUCAGCUCGUGUCGUGAGAUGUUGGGUUAAGUCCCGCAACGAGCGCAACCCUUGCCUUUAGUUGCCAGCAGUUCGGCUGGGCACUCUAAAGGGACUGCCGGUGCUAAACCGGAGGAAGGUGGGGAUGACGUCAAGUCCUCAUGGCCUUUAUGACCAGGGCUACACACGUACUACAAUGGCCGAUACAAAGGGCAGCGACACUGCGAGGUGAAGCCAAUCCCGUAAAAUCGGUCUCAGUCCGGAUUGGAGUCUGCAACUCGACUCCAUGAAGUUGGAAUCGCUAGUAAUCGUGGAUCAGCAUGCCACGGUGAAUACGUUCCCGGGCCUU